GUUCAUGGCUCAGGAUGAACGCUAGCUACAGGCUUAACACAUGCAAGUCGAGGGGCAUCAGGGUGUAGCAAUACACCGCUGGCGACCGGCGCACGGGUGAGUAACACGUAUCCAACCUGCCCUUUACUCGGGGAUAGCCUUUCGAAAGAAAGAUUAAUACCCGAUGGUAUAACAUGACCUCCUGGUUUUGUUAUUAAAGAAUUUCGGUAGAGGAUGGGGAUGCGUUCCAUUAGGCAGUUGGCGGGGUAACGGCCCACC
rnacentral:rRNA from 1 species